GAUGAACGCUGGCGGCGUGCCUAAUACAUGCAAGUCGAGCGAACAGACGAUGCGCUUGCUCCUCUGACGUUAGCGGCGGACGGGUGAGUAACACGUGUAUAACCUACCUAUAAGACUGGGAUAACUUCGGGAAACCGGAGCUAAUACCGUAUAAUAUAUUGAACCGCAUGGGUCAAUAGUGAAAGACGGUUUUGCUGUCACUUAUAGAUGGAUCUGCGCCGCAUUAGCUAGUUGGUAAGGUAACGGCUUACCAAGGCAACGAUGCGUAGCCGACCGCAGAGGGUGAUAGGCCACACGGGAACUGAGACACGGUCCAGACUCCUACGGGAGGCAGCAGUAGGGAAUGUUACGCAAUGGGCGAGAGCAUGACGGAGCAACGCCGCGUGAGUGAUGAAGGUCUUCGGAUCGUAAAACUCUGUUAUUAGGGAAGAACAACUGUGUAAGUAACUAUGCACGUAUUGACGGUAACUAAUCAGAAAGCCACGGCUAACUACGUG
rnacentral:rRNA from 1 species